UACUGCUAUCAGUGUUCGAUUAAGCCAUGCGAGUUAAAUGUUCUUCGUGAACAUGGCGUACUGCUCAGUAACACGUGGAUAACCUGCCCUAAGGUCCGGCAUAACCCCGGGAAACUGGGGAUAAUACCGGAUAAACCAUAGAUACUGGAAUGUUCUGUGGUUAAAAGUUCCGGCGCCUUAGGAUGGAUCUGCGGCCUAUCAGGUAGUAGUGGGUGUAAAGUACCUACUAGCCGACGACGGGUACGGGUUGUGAGAGCAAGAGCCCGGAGAUGGAUUCUGAGACAUGAAUCCAGGCCCUACGGGGCGCAGCAGGCGCGAAAUCUUUACAAUGCGGGAAACCGCGAUAAGGGGACACCGAGUGCCAGCAUACAAUGCUGGCUGUCCACAUGUGUAAAUAGCAUGUGAUAGCAAGGGCCGGGCAAGACCGGUGCCAGCCGCCGCGGUAACACCGGCGGCCCGAGUGGUAAUCACUAUUAUUGGGUCUAAAGGGUCCGUAGCCGGUUUGAUCAGUCUUCCGGGAAAUCUGACAGCUCAACUGUUAGGCUUCCGGGGGAUACUGUC
rnacentral:rRNA from 1 species